rnacentral:rRNA from 1 species
ACGAACGCUGGCGGCGUGCUUAACACAUGCACGUCGAACGGAAAGGCCCUGCUUUUGUGGGGUGCUCGAGUGGCGAACGGGUGAGUAACACGUGAGUAACCUGCCCUUGACUUUGGGAUAACUUCAGGAAACUGGGGCUAAUACCGGAUAGGAGCUCCUGCUGCAUGGUGGGGGUUGGAAAGUUUCGGCGGUUGGGGAUGGACUCGCGGCUUAUCAGCUUGUUGGUGGGGUAGUGGCUUACCAAGGCUUUGACGGGUAGCCGGCCUGAGAGGGUGACCGGCCACAUUGGGACUGAGAUACGGCCCAGACUCCUACGGGAGGCAGCAGUGGGGAAUAUUGCACAAUGGGCGGAAGCCUGAUGCAGCAACGCCGCGUGCGGGAUGACGGCCUUCGGGUUGUAAACCGCUUUCGCCUGUGACGAAGCGUGAGUGACGGUAAUGGGUAAAGAAGCACCGGCCAACUACGUG